rnacentral:misc_RNA from 1 species
AGAAAUUUUCUUCUCUAUUUUUUUAUUCUCUAUUUUUUAAACUUUUCAGUUCCAGCCAUGGCCACCGCACAAGGCAAGAGAAAGAAACACAAUAAAAACCAAACCCCAGAAUCUCAAUUCAACUACAAUCUCAACUUUUACUCCAAAUCCAAAGACCUUCGCUCCGCUGUCUCCCUCUAUGAUGCCGCUGUCUCCAACAACACCUGUCUUAGCCAGCACCAUUUCAACACUCUUUUUUACCUCUGCUCUCUCUCUCUGACCCAUCAACGAAAGAGCUUGCUCUUCAAUAUGGGUUUUGCGUAUUUGACCGUAUGGUUGCCAAUGGUAUUAAACCCAAUGAAGCCUCGAUCACUGCCGUUGCCAGACUCGCUGCAGCCAAAGGUGAUGGCGAUUAUGCCUUUGAUUUGGUUAAGAAUAUGGGUGCCUAUAAUGAAUUGCCGCGGUUGAGGACAUAUGAUCCGGUCUUGUUUUGUUUCUGUGACAAAUUGGAGGCUGAUAAAGCCUAUGAGAUGGAGCUGCAUAUGGAAAGUUUGGGAGUGAGUUUGGAAGAAAUGGAGUUUGCGGCCUUGUUGAAGGUGAGUGCGGGGACUGGAAAUGAGGAAAAGGCUUAUGGGUAUUUGCAGAAAUUGAGGAAGACGGUUAGGUGUGUGAGGGAGGAGACUGCAAAGCUAAUUGAAAAUUGGUUUCAGAAUUUUGAGUGUAAUGGACUGGAAUUGGACGUGCGUUUGGUGAGAGAGGCGGUUACGAGGAAUGGAGGCGGGUGGCAUGGGCUUGGGUGGAUUGGGAAGGGGAGGUGGGUAGUGAGGAGAGGGAAUGUGGAUAUGGGUGGAAAAUGCUUUUGUUGCGGAGAACAGUUGGCUUGUAUAGACAUUGAUGAUACGGAGACUGAGACGUUUGCGGGUUCUGUUGCUGGUUUGGCUAUGGAAAGGGAGGUUAAAGCUUAUUUUAGUGAGUUUUAGGUAUGUGAUGUUGAAGCUGAAGAUAUGCAAAACAAAGUUUGAGGAUUUGAUGUUUUUGUGCUGAUUGACUUGAGGCAUUCAUGUCGUUUUUCUAUCUUCUAAUUUUUGUUGAUAUUUUUCUUCUCUCCGUUCAAUGCCUCCUACAAUAGGAUUGGCUGGACAAACAUGCCAAUUAUGAAUCAAUUGUAGAUGGAGCAAAUGUUGGGCUCUAUCAGCAAAACUUUGCAGAAGGCGGAUUUAGUGUUUCUCAGCUUGAUGCUGUUGUGAAAGAGCUGUAUAGUCAGAGGGGGAACUGGCCUCUUAUUAUCUUGCAUAAUAAACGUGUUCGGGCGCUCCUGGAAAAUCCUUCUCACAGAAAAUUGAUUCAAGAGUGGAUACAAAAGGAAGUUCUUUAUACAACACCUCAUGGUUCCAAUGAUGAUUGGUAGGAAGGUAUUGGCUAUAUGCUGCUGUAAAACUGAGGUGCUUGCUUGUUACUAAUGAUGAGAUGCGAGAUCAUAUUUUUGAACUUCUGGGAAGCAACUUCUUUCUCAGGUGGAAAGAGAGACAUCAAGUUCGAUAUACCUUUUUGAAAGGGAACCUAAAACUUCAAAUGCCAGGACCAUUUUCUGUAGUCAUCCAGGAGUCAGACAAAGGAGCAUGGCAUGUGCCUAUAUCAGGUGAUGGAAAUGAGGAUUCUACACAGGGUUGGCUCUGCAUUACCAGGCCAAGUGCUUGUGGUGCACUUGGCGAAGAUGCAGUGAGCAUGGAAACUUCUGAGAAUGGUCAUGGUGUUUGCAAUGGUAGCAAGUUGUUGAGCCCUUGCAAACAAAAAUGUAUUACAAGUUGCAAUAAUGAACCUGAAAGCCAAGAUUCUGACAAUAAACCUGCAACUAUGGCAGGUAAAAGGAAAGAAAGAUCCCCAUCUCCUUCCUAGUUGUAUCUUCCUCGAACUUUAUGUCAUUUACAAAAGGUCUUUGAGCAUCUCCUGUUGAACUUAUUAAGUUCACAAGGAGAAAAAUCAGUGUUUGAACUUCCAGGUUUCAAAUUCAAAAUCUUGGGCAGAUGAUGAGGAAGAGAAAGCUACCUCUUGUUGUUUAAUACAAGGCACUAGGCUUUAACG